rnacentral:rRNA from 2 species
GGACUACCCGGGUAUCUAAUCCUGUUUGCUCCCCACGCUUUCGUGCAUGAGCGUCAGUAUCAUCCCAGGGGGCUGCCUUCGCCAUUGGUGUUCCUCCACAUCUCUACGCAUUUCACUGCUACACGUGGAAUUCCACCCCCCUCUGACGUACUCUAGUUGGCCAGUUCUAAACGCAGUUCCCAAGUUGAGCUCGGGGAUUUCACAUCUAGCUUAACCAACCGCCUGCGCACGCUUUACGCCCAGUAAUUCCGAUUAACGCUUGCACCCUACGUAUUACCGCGGCUGCUGGCAC